ensembl:lncRNA novel transcript
GUUACAUUUUGCAUGCAAAGAAAGCCAGAGUGGCUAGAUUACUCCCUUAGGGUAAUGGAGAAAGGAAAAAGAAAUUGAAAAAGGUCAGGUGAACAAAGCAGAAGGAAUGAAGAGGUUUGUGUGAUUCUUAGUGAAAUUGGACCAGUCUAAGCAACCAGACAGUGCAGUUCAGGAAACCAGGCUGAAGAAUGUGAAAUACAUCGCCCAAAGUCAGACACGGAGGAACAACUGCUUCGGAGCUAGCAAUUUCCUGAGCUGGAAUUGCACCACUGGCCUGUAGAAUCCAAACUGUUUUCUACCAGAACAACUCCUUCCCUGCAGGAAGCAGGGUGUGCACAGCUGAACCCUGGUCUGAGAAGGUUGAAGUCACUGACUCAGCCCCAGCAAGGAAGUUGCCCUUCGACUUCUGACCUCUGGCCCUGUUUGAAAACCAACUCAAAUCGUUUUUCUUUUUCAGAAGCUGCUUGCCUCCGCUUCACCUUCCACCAUGAUUGUAAGUUUCCUGAGGCCUCCCAGUCAUGCUUGCCGUUAAAACUGUGGAACUGCUUUACAACGAAUGUAAAAGACAAGUCUCAGGAAAAGAUGUAAUUUUAUGGAAGAAAAAAGAUAGAAAAUAACAUUACCCAAAUGAAAACAGAUGAAGAUAAAGAUCAUUUCUUGAACAAUAUCUUCACAUCAUGGCUGGGCAAAGUGGAAAGAGACAGAAAACUGAAAAGUGACAACUUAAAAACUUUCUUUAAACAUAUCACUCUGACACCAAUGUGUAAGAUGAAGUGGACAGGAAUGGAACUGUACUGGGAGGCUCUGACAGUUCGGGUGAGAAGAAAUGAAGGGUCCUGUAAGCAGAUGAGCAGAUGAACAGAAGAGCAGAAGAGCAGCACAGCCGAGAAGGAAUGAAUGGCACAGCAGAGAAGGAGAGAAGAGAAGGAGCAUCUGAACGUUGAGAGUUCAACUAGAAAUGGUCAGAGAGGAGACUGAUCAUGGGAUAGCCAAACUCCAGGAGAAGAUUAUGUUCCCACUCCAUCCCCUUUCCAGAUCCCCAAUCCAUCCCUCUGAGAGCCACCUCUACCACUCGAUAAAACCCCUGCAUUUACCAUC